GAUCGUGUGGUUGUGGCUGCUCUCAACUGAAUAGAAUUUCCAAAAAUGCGUUUGGCUCUUUCCACGUCACAUCGCCGCAGGCCGCCGCCAGGAGAUCGAGGCGACGCCGCUGCGCCGUGCACCUGGGGUGUGGGGGUGGGGAGGCGACGGGGCCGAGGCCGCCGUGCGUGCUGGGAGCAGCCUCCGCGUUGGGCCGAUUCGACGCCGGCGCUGCCUCCGCCACUCAGCGGCUCGGCCUCGUGCUCUUAUCGCGGCGCCGUAUCGCGACGGAUGGCGCCGCAGCUGGAGUGCGCCGCUUCGGGCGGGACUGAGGGAGUCGUGCUAUGGCGUAGCCAAUCGUCGGAAGGAGCCCGGCCGAGGGCCACGGGCGCCGCGGCCGAACGCUGGAGGGCCCUCGCCCGGGCUGUUCCAGUGCUUCAACUGAAGGAAUUUUAUUCGAAGAGCAACAUGGGUUAAAACUUGCACAAAGUUGCAUCAGCAGUUGUGCUAUGGUAGUUUGAUAUAAUCUGGCGUUUACCGCAGGAAUCAUAUCUGUGAGCAGCUGAACUGAAGUUUUUGUCUCUGAGCUGAAAUUCGUGAUCGUCAUACAAUUGGCAUUGUCCAUUGCCAGUACUGCCAAUGCUUCCCCUGCGGUCUUCUUGAGUUCUUGACUCUCAUUAGCAGCAUCAAAGAAGAUGUCCAUCAAGUCAUUAAUGAAUUCAGCUACGCCAUCAAGUCCAAGGGUAGCUUGAGUGGACGUAUCCAAAGAUAGCUCCAUUAGGAUCUUUGUUGCUGGAACCUUUAGCUUGUUGUACAUGUGGUCCUUUUCCAAGAUUGAGCAGAUAUGUUGUGCUACUAUCCCGUUGCUACAAAUAUCUCGGCGUAUCUUUUCACUGGUUUCAUCUGUGCCACUGACAAGCAUGCUCACCACUUCCAGUGCCUUCUCAGUUAUUUCCAUGGUGAUACCAUCAUCUCUGAGGAUCUCAUACACUUUAGUUUUGACUGGGGAUAUGAUCUUGGAGAAGAGACCCUUGUAAUCAUAUAUGUGUUUGCAGUUGUCCGGGUUAACUGCAAGCUUGGCAAGAAUCAACAGGCCAUGGAUAAUUAGAGGUUUGCUUUCAGCUCCACUGGUAGUCCUGGAGGAUCGAGGAGUUUCUUGCUGUCUAUUUCUGAUGAAUUCUGCAGUAUGCGGAGCUACCAUGUCCAUUAAUUUCUUAAGAUAAAUACAAAAUCCGAUGCUUUCUCCUCCAUUGGUAGCGCUGGCUGACUGAAUAGCCCCCUGCUGGUCAGUUGUGAUGUCAAUAGCUGUCUGAUGGCCAAUGUUGACAUUGGUAGCUGGUGCUAAUAUUUUCAUAAAGUAGGGAUCAAUCAUGGAAGAUAUGGACUCUGUUGCUCCUGAUAUGUCAGCCAGGCACAAGUUGCUAGCAAGAUGUGCCACAAUUUCUGCGAUGCAUAUUCUUGUCCUCUGAUCAGUGCGGCUCUUUGAGUUUGAGGUAACCAUGUCAAGCAGCCUGGAAACACAGAGCGGUGAGGAUUGUAUCUGGGAUAGUGUUCUUGUUCUAUGGUCCUCUUGGGAUGUCAAUCUAUGCAUCACCAAAACUGCAUCAAUGCGGUCCUGACUGUACUCAGAUUUCAUCAUUUCUGCUGCGAAGGAAGCCAGGUUCCUGUUGAUGGUA